rfam:Valsa mali strain 03-8 chromosome 6, whole genome shotgun sequence.
GUCCGGCUGGCCUAGUGGUUAGGGCGUCUGUCUUACAAGCAUUCAAGUAUCACAGAAGAUCACAGGUUCAAACCCUGUGCCGGACA